GACGAACGCUGGCGGCGUGCUUAACACAUGCAAGUCGAACGGAAAGGCCCUGCUUUUGUGGGGUGCUCGAGUGGCGAACGGGUGAGUAACACGUGAGUAACCUGCCCUUGACUUUGGGAUAACUUCAGGAAACUGGGGCUAAUACCGGAUAGGAGCUCCUGCUGCAUGGUGGGGGUUGGAAAGUUUCGGCGGUUGGGGGUGGACUCGCGGCUUAUCAGCUUGUUGGUGGGGUAGUGGCUUACCAAGGCUUUGACGGGUAGCCGGCCUGAGAGGGUGACCGGCCACAUUGGGACUGAGAUACGGCCCAGACUCCUACGGGAGGCAGCAGUGGGGAAUAUUGUACAAUGGGCGGAAGCCUGAUGCAGCAACGCCGCGUGCGGGAUGACGGCCUUCGGGUUGUAAACCGCUUUCGCCUGUGACGAAGCGUGAGUGACGGUAAUGGGUAAAGAAGCACCGGCUAACUACGUG
rnacentral:rRNA from 1 species